UCUAUAGGAGGGGGUUUCGUAAUGUUACCCAGGGAGGAUCGACUCCAGCUGCUGCUGUAAGGACUGAUAGUUCACACUUCGUUCCCCACUGAGCUGCACACCAAACGCCUUCGGACACACAGAGGGUGAACUUGUCGUGAGUGAGCGUAUCAUCGGUCCAGUUGACAACAGGAAAGCUCACAGCGCGACAAAGAGGAAGGAAAGACGGCAAAGAGUGGGAGACAGACGGACAGAAAGCUGUGCAGAUCCAGUGGUAUCAGUAAAAGAGAUGCAAGGGAGAAUUCAAACAGCUUCUGACGGCUCCGUCUAAUUGGUCCAAAUCUUUGGCAUCUUGUUUGUGUUUACUUAAUCAGCUGAGGGAGUGUAUACAUUUUGUUGGCUGUGGGGCAUCUCAUCCCCUCACAUCAUCACAUCGGGAGACUUCUUUUACUAGUAAUAUUUUUGUUUUCUUUUACAAUUUCCAAAAUGGCCAGAAUGCUCAUGUUUGAAUGUUUGUUGGAGGAGAAACAAGUUCAGCAAACAAACUGCUAUUGUAAAACCUCCAGACAGCCUCCACUGUCCUAGGAUUACACAUUGACCUUUCUGCUCCUCUAUCCCCCCGUGAACACGUCUAACAGCUCACACCAAAGAGCCUAUUAGGCUUGGGUCCCACUUUGUUGUUAAAAAGGGUCUUGUCCUUUCAGAACACUCACUUCCUUACUUUCUGGUUGUGUUUUUUUUAAGGCCGACGUGGCGGAGGAACACAAGUUCAUUGUUCCCUCAUGGAUGGAAGUUGAAGUUACCAGGGCAACGGCUCUAAUCCUCCUUUUUUUGCCACUUUUUUCAUAUUACCAGCCUAUCAAGUGCUACCUUUUAAGUCUGGGGAAGGAGCACUCAUUCACUUUUAAUUAGCUAUGAUUCUGUUUGCCAGGAGACAGCAUGAUGAGCUAAUCGAAAUUUACGAAAUAAUGACGUACUACAGGCAGCUACGUCUUUUUCCUGAGGCCCGCUCCAAGAAUAACAAUAAUGAGGCCAUUAUCGGGGAUUGCACUUUAAAACACUGCCCUGCCACCAUAACAGAGGACAUAAUUGUUCUGGUGUUUUCCAUACAAUCAACAACCCAUUGUUGAUGACUUGAGAACUAAAAGAAGCAAAGAAUGGGUGGCAUAAUGAUUGGUCUGUGCUGCCAUGAAGAUCCUGUACAAAGUGUCCACUGAGGAAGAACCUCGAUAGACUACUGAUUUGCUUGUAGCGGCUGCGGAUGAAGACAACUGUCUGGCUUUGUAAAAAAAAAAAAAAAAAAGUCCUUUCUGCUUUUUGUCCAACUUGCCGCUCAAAUAGCCCCCAAGCCGCAUUAGAGUAGGACCAUUCAUAUGGUGAAAGGCUGGGAGUCACACAGGCUGAUGUGAAGGGGCCACAUAGUCGCUGGAGAGAAUCGCCAUUUAUGUAACCUCCCUCUGUUUUUAUAAAAAUAUAUAGUCGCAUAAAUAUAUUUGAACAGCUAUAAUAAAGCUGUGCUCCUGAAAGAAUGAUGUAGUCAUGUUUGAUCAGUGCUUCUCCACAUACAUGUAAAGUCAAUUUAUUUCACUGUACAUGUACGUCAAGCGAGCGUUAUCAAACAUGGCAAGGUACCUCAAUUAGAUAAUUACAUAUCUGCGCUGUAAAACUAACUGCAUUAUAAGUGCAGCGCAGCCAUUUGGAAAUUAAAGCAUCCCAGAGAAAAGAUGGUGAUAAAUAGAAGUUAAGAAAUAAAAUAUUUUGUCAAAAAGUUCCACAUGGCAACUCGCUGGGUGAGAGCUCAGCAGGGUUGUGCAAACACAGUGCUGCACCUAUUAACUGUGCUCUAUUGUAACAGGAGUAAGAGAGACAGAGCUCGAGGGCAGGAGGAAUGCUAAGUGGGCCCCUUAGCCUAGUCAACCUUCAGUGGGUUUCAUUUAUCUUCAUCUUGUUAGACUAAAUUAAUUAACAAUCUCAAUGUUACACACUUUCUCCUUUCAUUACAUCAAAUAAUGGCAGAAAUGUAGGGGGAGGUCCUGCCCGCUGGGAGUAGACAGGCUGAAGAUAUCUCUCUCUCUCUCUGUGUUCACAUCUCCAUGCUCUGUCUCUCUAACUUCCCCUUUCUCUCCCACUCUCACUCUCAUUUUCUCAGUCUCUUUGACUACACAAACAAAAACCUGUAAACGUCUUUCAUAAACAUAAAAAAUUGAUCCAAUAUGAAAACGCAUCUUCUUUUCAGCUGAGGGGAAAAGAACCGUGAGGCUCACAAUACCAUGGGCAUGAAUAGUUGUUAGAGACACUGUGGUUCACAGAUCUUCUGCAGUAGUUGAGAAAUAUUUUGCUUUGUGUAAAUGUUAGGAAUUUUAAACAGACUCCUAUUAUUUUUAGGAGACAGUACAAAGGCUUUCAAAGAGUUCAAAGUUCUCCCCAUCGCAUGAAGAGAGUUUGACGUAUCAGGUGCCAUUAGGAAGCAGCUUUGCGGCUAUUAAAACCCACUGCGUGUGACUCACAACCAAACUUAUGAGUCAUUUCAAUCAUAGCAGGCCCAUCCGUUGCAUGACUGAGACACCAAGUACAGUAUCAGAACUCGAUAACAUCUGCACAUAAGGCAGAAAAGUGUGAGCAUGUUCAGAAAGCCCCCGUUGACCCACUUCAGAAGUGGGAGAACAGAAACUGGGAUUCUUGGCUGGAGGAAGGUCAGACUGCUGCAUCCAUCCGACCCAUGUUUCUAUCCUCUUCUACCCCUUUACCCCCCCCCCCCCCCCCCCUCAGCCCACUGCAGGACACAAGUCUUAUCCCAGCAAAAGGGCCAAGCCUGAAGCAAAGCCUGCCUUUAAUCUCAGCCUGAUUGUUGAGGCCUCCAAUCUCCAGUCAGUUUGUGAUAUCUUUCUACUGGCGCUUGUCCUUUAAUUAAAAUGGACGCUGACAGAAGGAUGUGGAUUACCACUGCAGUAAUGUGUUUACUUAGAAUAAUCUGUGUUUUCUCACAAGUAUGAGAACAAAAGAAAAUUGUUGAGAAACAGCCAAGGUCAAAGGUCAUGUGUCUUGUCAGCCUGUUUUUUUUGUUGCUGUUGUUUUUUUGUUUGAGAGUUGUAAGAUUUAAUUUAGUAAUAUUCCCUGUGAAAUGCAGUAAAAUGCUUCUUUAGUUUUUAACGCUUUUACUGUGUGUGUGCAUAUCUGUGUUAUAUGUGUAAUUUAUAAAUCAUUUGGUUAAAAUUAUUCAAAUAAAAUAAUUCAGAAAUGCCUGUGGGUAAAGAAUGUAGCUUCUGAAAUAUAAUUCUGCACAAUUAACUUUUGUCCUAUUCUUAA